rnacentral:rRNA from 1 species
AUUGAACGCUGGCGGCAGGCCUAACACAUGCAAGUCGAGCGCGCGGCGGACGGGUGAGUACUGUAUGGGGACUGCCCGCUAGAGGGGGGUAACGACUGGGAACGGUGGAUAAUACCGCCUACUGUCGGAUAACCCAUAUGGGAUUAGCUAGUAUGUAAGGUAAGUGCUGACCUAGGCGACGCUCCCUAGCUGGUCUGAGAGGAUGAUCAGCCACAAUGGGACUGAGACACGGCCCAGACUCCUACGGAGGCAGCAGUGGGGAAUAGUGCACAAUGGGCGCAAGCCUGAUGCAGCCAUGCCGCGUGUAUGAAGAAGGCCCUAGGGUUGUAAAGUACUUUCAGUCGGGAGGCGUUACCGACAGAAGAAGCACCGGCUAACUCCGUGCCAGCCGCCGCGGUAAUAC